AAAGAAGGAAUCAAGAAUGUUCCGAUUUAGGAAGUUAUAUCUGACUCGGGCUGCAGGUAGAAUGAGAUAUAACUGUUAUAUCAAUAGGGAUCAGUUCACAAUAUAGACACACAGGGCAUUCAAUAGUCCCGUUUAUUUAAUAUAAAGUAAAUAAAAACCUUUAUACAUUACCAAGAGUCUAGGAUGGAGGAAUUCAAUUUGGGAUUCUCCUCUCUGGGUGCUCUGGUCUGUAACUCAGUCUAUUGCCCUUAGUCAGUCAAUCUCCUCCUUUCUUAGCCCUCUGUUUUCUCCUUUGAUCUUUUUUAGGAAGAUCUGAAGAUAUUGUCUUCCUUCUCUUAUUUUUCUCCCUAUUUAACCAUUAUUUCCCCCUUAUCAGUUCCUGCCCCUUGUUUGUAAAUGGGCGGUACCUGGGACUUAAAUCUGGCUUUUGAUUGGUUAUGGGCGUAUCGUAAUAUUUAUUUAUUAAUGUGGCCCUUAGGGACUUUCAUCAAUAGAUGGCACUAUUUCCUGAGGUAUGAAGACCUGAAUUAGAUCAUUGAUGACCUGGUUAAAUGAAUUGACCUUUAAUUCACAUAUACUGGGGAUAUUUAAAUUACGUUAAAUAUCUGUCUUUAGUUAUGUAUAUUCUUCAAUUGAAACAGGGUUGGUUAUAUUAAUCAUCAUGCAAUAUGUCUAUAUCCAUCUAACCUGUAUGAAUAACUGAUUACAAAGAAAAAUAGAAUAUUAUAUUAGUAUAUCUGUAUUACCUUUUACCCCUAAAUCCGUCAAGGAUGCAAUUUUAGACAUUACUGUAGCAAUCACACAUUUAGUUUACAUUUGUAUAUCAUGCAUGAUUCCAAUAGAUUCAUUUAAGUUCUAAUAUCCUGAAAAUAUGGAAGAGACUUCUGACUUUGGGUUCGUUUGGCUGACAAACACUCUGGAUUGCCUGUGAUGUUGUUUAUGCACAAACAAUUGCAUAGUUUGUAUACCCCUUUGAAGCUCUGUGAGUUUAAGUAUCUCGGAUUGUAAAGUCCCAUUGAGUAAUAAACCAUUGUUUUCGUUACCCUUGUACACCUAUAGCUCACAAAUUAAACUGUAGUUAAGUAUUCCUCCUGUUUACUACUUAAGGUUACAAAAUACAAAUUUCUUUGACCAGUGUUGAAACAGCAUUACGUAAUGUCCAGGCCAAGCUCACCAGCAUCCAUAUUGUUUUUCUCUUACUAUUAAAAAUUAUUGGGCACCAAAUAGCACAACAAAUGUAACCUUGUGACUUCCAUACACUUUCGGCAGGUUCUGAUCCGCUUUCACUUCCAAAGAAAUGUCAUAGUUAUCCCAAAAUCUGUGACCCCUACACGCAUUGAGGAAAACUUCCAGGUAAAACCUAAUCCUUCAAGUUGGUGAAUGGUAUUCAUGAGAUAAUGCAUGAAUUGUAUAUUUAUUUGAUGGUUUCUGUCUGGAAUCUGUGUAUCACAAAUCCAUUGCUCAUCUUGAUGAUGUUAGCUAAUCCCUAAUCUAUUGUGUGUCAUUAAAUGGACUUUGUCAUAAUAUAUAUGAUAUAUAUCUUGAUGAAAGGGACAUUUUCGUAUACAUGUUUGCAGAUGGUCCCCUUGGUAAACCACUAGUCUCCACUGUUCAUAAUAAACCAAAAACAGCACAGUCAACCUAGAAAAAAAAAUGGGUAUUUAUUGGUAGUCUUGGCAGUCCUGUUGUUUGUAAGUUUUCUGUCCAAAUUAACAAUGUACAGGUUUAUCUUUAUGACGUAUGGCUAAGCCCAAACACAGACCCUGUUUAUUAUACCACAAUGUCCUAAGUUUGAAUGUAAAAUGUUUUGACAGGAUAACUUUUUUUCGCUCAGGUGUUUGACUUUGAACUGUCCCCGGAAGAAAUGGAGACUAUCUUUGGCUUUGAUAGAGGCUGGAGAGCCUGCGAAUGGUCUUUGUAAGUCUCAGCCUUUAUGUCCCUUAAUUUAUGAUUUGUUAAGAACUUUAUUAGAAACAAUAACUAAAAAAGGUGUAGAAAAUACUGAACUAUACAAAAGAAUAGCCCUCCAUUGUAUAAUACAUCAAUACUGAAAUACAAUUAGUGCUGUUCAAAACCUUGCCAGAAUGUGUAAAAGCUUAAUGGACCCAGGCCCCUUCAUUUCAAUGCAGUGGUCUAGGUGCAGUGUCCCUCUCCUUUUUAUCCUGCAUUGUAAAACAUUGUAGGGUUAAACACAGCAAGACAGCCACUAAAGAGACACUUCCUGUACACUAACCAGGUAAGAAGUUGCAGCGCAUGGGAGAGCAUAGAAUUCAAUGCUUAUCUGUGAGAACCAUUGGAUGUGUAAGUUGUUCUUCCUGCACAUGUGUAAACAGGAGCAUUAGAUUGGACACGCGAUAGAGGAAACAAGGCCACCUCGAUUACGUUACGGGAGGCGGAGAGGUGGCAGCGCCGAGAGCGCUGGAGAAAAAUUAAACUUAAAAAAAAAAAAUUAAAAAAUUAAUGGCUAUAGUGUUCCUUUAAUGGUUACAACUAUCUGGUCUUAGAGCGUUUUUUUUUAAAUCAUUGUUUGCUACUGUACUGUAGAGACCUUACAACUAUUAAAGACACAGUAGUCACCAAAACAACUUUUAGCUUAAUGAAGCAGUUUUGGUCCAUAGAUGUCCCUGCAGUCUCACCGCCCAUUUCUCUGUUUAAGUUAGAUUGUCUUAUCCUCUAUGUGAAUAGCUUGCUAGACCCUGCAAGACCCCUUUUCUGUGAUUAUAGUUCAAUUUACAGAGAAAGAUAUACAAUUUUUUAAGUUAAAUAACAUCUGAUCUAAAGUGAAACCAGUUUUUUUUUUUUUUUUUAUGCAGGCUGUAUCAAGCAGAGUCAGGGGAGGUGUGACAAUAUCUGCAUAAACAGAAACAAAAUUAUUUAACUCCUAAAUGGCAGUGAAACCUGAGAAGCAUGAUCUAUACAUUAAAACUGCUUCAUUAAGCUAAAGUUGUUUAGGUGACUAAUGUUCCUUUAAACUCUUUGAGCUUACACAUUGUCACAAAAAAUGCUCUUAACACCAUCAGCAUUGUUCCAGUAUAAAAUCAUUUCCAGGACAAUUUAAAAAUGAGGAAUAUUAGGUUACCCAAGCUGAAUUAGAUUAAAAAAAAAUCCACAAAAGACCAUUUAGCAAAUUGUCUAUAAAACCUACUGUGGGUUUUAUAGACAAUUUGCUAAACGGUAUUUUGUGGAUUAUGUAUUAUGUCUCUUCAGUAAUGUGAUUCUUAUACUAGACAAAGGCAAAAGUAAAAAAAUCAACAUGUAUUACGAACAAUUGUGAGGUUAUUUAUGGGGAUUAAUUAUUAUUAAUUUUCAUUAAAUAUUUUCAUAAAAAUUGUUAAAAUUAAAUAUCAGGGGUUGAUAUUGGAGCUUAUUCCCAAUUACUAUUUAAAUCGAAGAGUCAACACUGUUUACUCAUUAUUUUAACUCUUUAGACCUGUAGUACGUUGUUCAAAUUUAAUAUUUCAUACAUUAAUAUCACAACCUUUUAUUAAAAAAAUAUUUAUUUUUGUUAAUAAGUGUAAUUAUACAUGGUAAUUAGUGAAUAGUUUUUCAAUAAUAUUGAAUAAGAGAUGGCAAAGUACAGUAUCACAAUCUCAGUAACAAUUUCAAACUCUUUAGAGUGAUAGGAUUGUUAGUUCAUGACAAAUUCAAUCAAUUGGGUUAGUAUGUGGAAUAUUUUCUUCAUACACCAUUGAUUGAGACAAUCCACAAAUGGCAUGUUACUAUUUGUUAAAUUAUAAGGAACCAUGUGAGUUUAUCAGCAUAUAGAUUAUUAUAAUUAAAAGAUAGCAUUUUAAAAUACAAUCUUAGCUUUUUACUUCUUAGUACAAUUUACAAACACAUGUGGAUUGUUUGCUUAUUGUAAAUACCAUUCAUUAGAGUCCGCUGGACAGAGUUCGUUAUUUACUCAGAUGAUCUAUACACAAAGUUCUACGACAAUGUCGUAUUAGCUAGCACAGAAGUUUAACCAGCUCAGUGCUGUUUCAGAGUAAUUAAUUCAUCCAGUAACUAAAUUCUUGCAGGUUUAGUUAAAACAGUUCUUAUCUGAUAAAUAUUUUCUAGAUUGGUAUAGAUUUAAUAUUCCCCUGGGUAACUGUUGAUAUUCUAAUUUUUAUUUCAUGAUUUUGAUUAAUAUUCCAGUCUGUAGUUUUAGAUCUCAAUCUCUUUCAUGAGCCAUCAUGAAACCCAAUCUGACGGAUUUCGUAUCAGCUUUUACCCAGAAAAUAUUAGCUUGUAGUUAUGUAAUUUUAUAGUUGGUAUAAUUGGCUUAUAUUUACCGAUAGAUGUUCUGGAUGUUAUUUUUAAGAUUGUUUCAAGAUGUCUUCUAGUCUGUGUCUUGUCUCCUAUCUCCUUUCUCCUUCUGUGUGUCUCUCUGUUUAUGUGUGGUGUUUUUUUUUGUUUUUUUUUCUGUGUGUGUAUAUCAUGGGGUUAUGUCAUUCCUUAUCUGUUAACCUUCUGACUUGGUCCAAUGACAUUUUCGGGCAAGUCAUUAUGUUAAUGGUUGUUGACGUGAUUUUGAUAUAAUAUUUCUAUAUGUCUUAAACAGCAGGUGGAGCUGUUGGCUUACGUCAGGAGUAUUACCAGCUAUUGUUAUAGAGGGUUAAACCCUGUUCAGGACAAUUUAGGAAUGUUUAAUUUUAAGAUGUUUUGGUCAGCAUUUCUUCUUUUUUCUCAAUGUAGACUUUGGUCUCACACAAUAAAUCACUGGGUCCUUGCUCACCUAAGCGUUAUGGCAAUUUCAGGAUAUUUAAGCUAACUUAAUUUAUCUCAUUGUUAGAUAGAUAGAGAUAUAGAUGUGUGUGUGUGUGUGUGUAUGUAUAUAUAUAUGUAUAUAUAUAUAUAUAUAUAUGUUAUAUAUAUAUAUAUAUAUAUAUAUAUAUAUAUAUAUAUAUAUAUAUAUAAUUAAACUUAAUUUAUAUACCUCAUAGCAAUAUGUGUGUUUGCUGAACACGUACUUUUAAUUAACACAUACUUGUCUUAUCUGUGUUCUUAUCUUUUAUUAACACAUGUAUUUACUCACUUUCUGGCUCUUUUAGCUGACAGGGUCAUACUUUGAGAAAAACGUCUUGUUUCUUAAUUUUAGCACCUCAUGGCAUAUUAGCUAAAUUGCUUUUUAGCUUUUAUGCAUGUAUUUUUAUCACGCACAAAAAUUAACAGAAAACAAUAAUGCUUACUAUAAAGUAGCAUUAUUUCAGUAUUUCUGUCCCAAGAGAGCGUUUGGUAAGGAAAUAAUUAUCUACUGCAAAAUUGAUUUUGGAUCUCAAAAUGGAUUAGAAAGAUUGUCAGAUAAACCCCUGCUCACACCAGGGAGGCCCAGGUAUCAAACCUCUGUCAGAUGGGGCCAUAUUUGGUAUCUGUUAGGUUGCCUCCAGGCUGGCUGGAAGUUGGACCAUAGAAAGGAUGCUCCUAGCACUGACCAAAGGACCAUCAGCACCGUAAACACUAUAAGCACUGCAGACUCCACAAACCGCUGCUUCUGGGCUGGGAUCUCGCCAUCUGCUAUCCACCCUGGACCUACGACCAGGCUCCAGGUUCCAGUAGGUGAACCUCUUCCUUCUGUAGAGCGAAGCAGGAUCAGGAACAAGAGCUCAGUAGGUAAGGGAGUAUGAAGAGAAUUGCAAUCCCUGUAGUGAUUAUAGCUGUCCCCUACAAACAUGAGUCGAGGCUGCAAGUUAGAGGGUCAAGUAGUUGUCUUUAAUUGGCACCAAAGGGCCUUCUUUUAUGGAGGUCUUACACAUACAGGACCGCCCACAGGGUUUUGCAGAACAACCAAUAAACACUUAACAUACAGUAAAAAAAAAAAUCCAUCAAUAGCACACAAAUCCUCCCUCUGCCUGUGAUAUAAUUACUGAACACAAUGGGUUAAAGUAAUUAUCACAGGCAGGAAAAAUACACUUUUUAUACAUACACUGUAACUUUAAAAAUGUAUGUCCAAUCUUCAUAAAAAGUACACAUUCAGAAUCAGCAUACUUUAAAUAUAAACAUAACCAAAGAUCACACAAAUCCCUGCAGUGGAUAAAAAGUUAGACGGAAGUCCUUUAUGACCGACCGCAAGCACAUUUUCCUGCCCAUAACAGUUCCAUAGAUUUGGGAUGUGCGGUCGGUCUAUUUCAGGCAGAAAAAUGACUAAGUCACAUUCGAAUGCACGAACGAGGCCGUUCUUGCAUUUGGCUCAGUGUAACAGUGAGUUCAAACUGCCCAACGGGACUUAAUCUCUGCGGCUUCAAAACUUAGUGUAGGAGAAGGUAAGGGUCAGCGGUGUUCGUUGAAAUGUGUAGCCGAUUUCAGUUUCAUGAAUUUGGCUACACAUAGUGCUGACCUCGUUCGAAUGAACAAAGAUGGCCGCCACCACGUGUUCGUUUGCACGAACUGCGGCCACCCAGCGGUCGGCAAUUUACCUACAGCAUGCUCCCAGCCUGGGAGGUAAAUUGCCUACACACUUCCACUUCUGGGUGAUACCUCUGUGUGGUACUUGGUUCAGUAAGUGUAAAGAAGCCAUGAAUAAAGUAUUUUAACCAAGUCUGGGGACUAAGCUAGUCAACGAUUUUUUCUGGCGGGUUCAUUGGUGUGCUCCCCAAGCCUGGCGUGCAGUGUGGUAGAUCGGGUAAGUUGUCAUUGGGUUACUCCGCACAAUACUCUUAGCCCGACUGCACUGGCCAGACUGGUUUAAGAGCUCCUUGUCCUCUUGCCGUUUCUCACUUGGUUUUAUUUUUUAGUUCUUUUCCAGCAUCAUUUAUUUUUUUUUUUUUUAAAUGCAUUAAUUCCAGUUGAGGGGCUCCUCACUGGAUUGUUAUUCUACCAUUUAUGGGAAUCCUUUCCCUCCUGUUUUUAUAUAUAGGUUUAUAUGUUUAAUGUUCUUUUAUUGCUAUUUCAUGGCUAUGUCUAUUUAUGUUUUUGCUUAGGAGGCUACUGAGCGGUCCCAUAGCUAGUUUUAUAUACGUGUAGCUGCUAUUGGGGAGACCACCCGGUAGUAGUGUUACUUUCUGAUUGACAUUUAGCUACAUUUUUGUAUAUUGUUAUGUACUGUAUAAAUUAAAAGUAAUUUAUCUCACCUAAGACCUUGAAUAGUGUUAUUUGUGAAUUUAGAAUAUUGGGGUGUAUAUAUAUAUAUAUAUAUAUAUAUAUAUAUAUAUAUAUAUAUAUAAUUAACCCUUUCAAUGCUGGAGUGGUUAAUUAUAUCUUGUUUAUUUAUGUAAUAGGAGCGCUCACACUACCAUAUUCUUGAAUUUUACUUCUAUCAGUCGCUCAAAUUAGUUGUGAAGCAGCCCACUUUAUGACAAAUAAUAUUUUAAAAUAUUCAGACAUUUUAUUUUCUUCUGUUUUUCAGCUGGUUUAUAUAUUCUUUAUGUCAGUGUAAGGUUAAUUCUGCUUUAGGGUGUGAGAUAGUGUAGGGUUAGAGUAGCUAUACAGUUAGUGUAAACAUGGGGUUAGGGAUAGGGUUGGUAUAGAGUUAAAGGAACACUAUAGGGUCAGGAACACAAAUAUGGAUUCCUGACCCUAUAGUGUUAAACUAACUUUUAAGACCACCUUCCCCUGCUUAAAGCUAGUAAAAACUCACUUUACUUGGCGUGCCGCAUUGGUCUGCCAGCGCUGGCUCCACAUCUGAUCCGCCUCCUGGGCUGACAUCAUCAGAAUUGAUACUAUCCACAGGAAAGUAUUGGAAUGGCUGAGAUGGAGGUGUCUCUAGGCUGUAAUGUAAACACUGCCCUUUUUUCUGAAACAACUGUGUUGUAAAAGUCUGAAGAGACAUAUUAUACUGAACAGAACCUCUAAAGUAUGCUGUAGUUGUUCUGGUGACUAUAGUGUUCCUUUAACUACUAAAAAAUAAUUUAGAUCCUAGACAUGUAACGCACUUACAAUCAGGGCAUGAGUUUGAGUUACAUGAGUCUAUUUUGAGGUUGUUGGGUUUUUUUUAGUAGCACUUGAGGUCUAAAAUUUUUGUUGUGGUGGUUUUUUUUAAUUUAUUUUUUUAUGACAUUUUCAACAUUUAUUCAUACUUAAUAUUGUGUUAGGUAUGCAUAUAGAAUAUUAAUAUGAGGUUAUUUUUGGCCUUCAAAAAAACAAUAUAAUCUAUUGGAGACAGUUAAAGACAGACCCUUAAACUAUGGUGGAUCAAACUCAGCUCAAAUUCUAAGUUUUUGUUUUGAUUCAGAUGUUUGAGAAUUGCCUCCAAAUGAUCAAUAAAAAUAUAGCACAUGACAGGCUGAAUAAACUUCAAUUUCACUUACAUAUUGCCGUGUACUGAAGACUUAAUUUUUUUUUAUUGAUAAUUAAGUCUUCAGGAACCUAGCCUGUGACAUAGGCUCCUAAAUACAGGAUUCAUUUGGAGUGCUCCUUGCAACACUAUUUUUGGACAAUUGUCUCUGUCAUUAAGGGCUUAAAGGACCACUCUAGGCACCAAGACCACUUCAGCUUAAUGAAAUGGUCUGGGUGCCAGGUCCAGCUAGGGUUAACCCAUUUUUUCAUAAACAUAGUAGUUUCAGAGAAACUGCUAUGUUUAUUAAUGGGUUAAGCCUUCCCCCUAAUCCUCUAGUGGCUGUCUCAUUGACAGCCACUAGAGGCGCUUGCGUGCUUCUCACUGUGAUUUUCACAGUGAGAGCACGCCAGCGUCCAUAGGAAAGCAUUAUGAAUGCUUUCCUAUGUGACCGGCUGAAUGCGCGCGCAGCUCUUGCCGCUUGGGCGCAUUCAGCCGACGGGGCGGAAUGGAGGAGGAGAGAAGGAGGAGAGCUCUUCGCCCAGCGCUGGAAAAAGGUAAGUUUAAACCCCUUUCCCCCUUCCAGAGCCGGGCGGGAGGGGGACCCUGAGGGUGGGGGCACCCUCAGGGCCCUUCGUGUGCCAGGAAAACAAGUGUUUUCCUGGUACUAUAGUGGUCCUUUAAUAUGAGACCAAACAUGGUAUACUUAUACAUAAUGCCCCAAAAAUAAAAUUGUGUCUAAAAACACUUCCCAAACUUUGAGUGAAUGACUGGUCAUUGAACCUUUGGUUGUACAUUGCAAGUGUUGUGUUGUUUCUUAAGUUCCCUGUGGCAGGUUGGGGUCCUGUCUGAUAAUUCCACAGUAAUACAAAAAAGAAACAAACAUCCAACUUUAGAACCAGAUACCAGUUCUAAAUUCCUCAAAAUCACUGAGAUUGCAAAUAACAAAAUAAAAUGUCUUUGCUGUCCAUUUCAGGGGAUUUUAAGAAGUCACCAGCAAGAUUUUAACCCAUCACUUCUCAGAUGCACUUUACCUCAUGAGUUUAUCAUGACACACAUACUGGGAAGGUUUUAUCCAGCAUGAAUUCUAUUUCAGUACUGAUUUAGAUAAAUUAGAGCACAGCAAAAUUACAUUUCCCAAGGAACAGCAAUGUAUUGGGCUGCUGAUAUGCGGAGUGUGCAUAUAUUUUCACUUGUUGCGUAAGGCAACAUAGUGCUAGAAAAUACAUAAUUUGACAAUGGAAAACCGUUUUAAAAUGCUUUAACCUCUUACAAUGGGAGGUAACAAACAACUCCUAGCAUCAUAACCACUACAGCACGCUUUAGUGGUUAUGGCGCUGUAAGUGUUAAUUUAACACACAGGCAUAUAUCAUUUAUUACUUCCAAUGUGUGGUUUAGCUUUACAGCAAAGCCUCUACCAUCCAUCUCUUAUGUACUGCUUCCCCUUGGUCACACUAAUUGUAUCUUUUUCUUUCCACAGUGCAAAGAAGCACAAGGAUUAUCCAUUCAAUGCAGAAUAUUAAGCCAAAUCUACGGUUAUUCGGCUAAAAGAGAUUCAUGCUUUUGUAUUAGUUUUUGAUAGUAUAUGUUUUUCAAUACUUCGGAAAAUCUUUACGUAUGGCUGGACUAAAUACUGUUUUAAAAAUAAAUGAACAAAUAAAAUCUAGAAUUCAUAAUUAUAAAAAAAUUAUAUUAACAGGUAAUAUUUAGUUUGGAUUAGAUUAUAGCACAUUUGGCCAUUUUUUUUUUGUACUGUUGACUCUAAUGUCCCAGCUUUGUUUUAAGGAAAGGUAGAAAAUUGUAGUGAUUUGAAGGAAAACAUUUCUAAAAUAUUGAACACUAUGUUGUGACUAUACCCCUGAGUCUCAUGAUUCCUCUGAACCGUUAGGGCUUGUAACCUUUUUCCAUAUGUUACAAUAAAGUACAAGGAAAGUG